rnacentral:rRNA from 1 species
CUAACACAUGCAAGUCGAGCGGAUGAAGGGAGCUUGCUCCUGGAUUCAGCGGCGGACGGGUGAGUAAUGCCUAGGAAUCUGCCUGGUAGUGGGGGAUAACGUCCGGAAACGGGCGCUAAUACCGCAUACGUCCUGAGGGAGAAAGUGGGGGAUCUUCGGACCUCACGCUAUCAGAUGAGCCUAGGUCGGAUUAGCUAGUUGGUGGGGUAAAGGCCUACCAAGGCGACGAUCCGUAACUGGUCUGAGAGGAUGAUCAGUCACACUGGAACUGAGACACGGUCCAGACUCCUACGGGAGGCAGCAGUGGGGAAUAUUGGACAAUGGGCGAAAGCCUGAUCCAGCCAUGCCGCGUGUGUGAAGAAGGUCUUCGGAUUGUAAAGCACUUUAAGUUGGGAGGAAGGGCAGUAAGUUAAUACCUUGCUGUUUUGACGUUACCAACAGAAUAAGCACCGGCUAACUCCGUGCCAGCAGCCGCGGUAAUACGAAGGGUGCAAGCGUUAAUCGGAAUUACUGGGCGUAAAGCGCGCGUAGGUGGUUCAGCAAGUUGGAUGUGGAAUCCCCGGGCUCAACCUGGGAACUGCAUCCAAAACUACUGAGCUAGAGCACGGUAGAGGGUGGUGGAAUUUCCUGUGUAGCGGUGAAAUGCGUAGAUAUAGGAAGGAACACCAGUGGCGAAAGCGACCACCUGGACUGAUACUGACACUGAGGUGCGAAAGCGUG